rnacentral:rRNA from 1 species
UACCUGGUUGAUUCUGCCAGAAGUCA